CGCGCAGGCGGCCAGGUAAGUCGAAUGUGAAAGCCCCCGGCUCAACUGGGGAGGGUCAUUCGAUACUGCUUGGCUUGAAGGUAGGAGAGGGAAGCGGAAUUUCAGGUGUAGUGGUGAAACGCGUAGAUAUCUGAAGGAACACCAGUGGCGAAGGCGGCUUUCUGGCCUAUUCUUGACGCUGAGGCGCGAAAGCUAGGGGAGCGAACG
rnacentral:rRNA from 1 species